UAUCUUGUUUUAUUUAUUUAUUUGGUACUGGGAAUUGAACUCCGGUCCUUGUGCUUGUGAGGCAGGCAGCAGAACCACUGAGCUAAAUCCCCAGCCCAUGGUGGGGUAAUCUUAGCUGGAGCAGCCAGGAAGGACCUUGUGAGGAAAGCGACAUCCGGAUUACAGUGAAGAUAAUCCUUCCAGUCUCCUCUGUAACCAGCUGCCUCAAACACACACAAGUGAGUUUCAGAGGAACAAGCUGUCGCCUGAGUACAUCCUGUGCAGUAGGUGGCACUUACUUAUACUGAAAUGCAUUCCUUCCUUUCUUGAAAUUCCACUUUCACGGGGUUUCCUGUAUUUGUAUUUGCUGACGCUGCCAACUUUAAACUCACCCUGUGUGCCGAGGACGUCCUUCCUUAUUUAAUCCCCCA
rnacentral:lncRNA from 1 species